rnacentral:rRNA from 1 species
UACGUAGGGCGCAAGCGUUAUCCGGAAUUAUUGGGCGUAAAGAGCUCGUAGGCGGUUUGUCGCGUCUAGCCGGUGAAAGUCCGGGGCUCAACUCCGGAUCUGCGGUGGGUACGGGCAGACUAGAGGUGAUGUAGGGGAGACUGGAAUUCCUGGUGUAGCGGUGAAAUGCGUAGAUAUCUGGAGGAACACCGGUGGCGAAGGCGGCAUCCUGGACCAACACUGACGCUGAUGGAGCGAAAGCCAGGGGAGCAAACGGG